UACGUAGGUGGCAAGCGUUGUCCGGAAUUACUGGGCGUAAAGCGUGCGUAGACGGUAGCGUAAGUCAGAUGUGAAAGCCCCGGGCUCAACCUGGGAAUUGCAUUUGAGACUGCUCUGCUCGGGUGCGGAAGAGGGAAGCGGAAUUUCCGGUGUAGCGGUGAAAUGCGUAGAUAUCGGAAGGAACACCAGUGGCGAAAGCGGCUUCCUGGUCCGACACCGACGUUCAGGCACGAAAGCGUGGGGAGCAAACAGG
rnacentral:rRNA from 1 species